UUUCCGUAGGUGAACCUGCGGAAGGAUCAUUAUUGUAUAACCGAGGUGCGAGGGCUGUCGCUGACCCGAAAGGUCGUGCACGCCCGAGUGCCCUCACACACAUCCAUCUCACCCCUAUGUGCACCACCGCGUGGGUCCACCUUUGGCUUGUUCGGAGGGGGGCUUACGUUUUCACACAAACUUUGUAUGCAGUGUAGAAUGUAUUUUUUGUUUUUGCGAUCACGCAAGCAAUACAACUUUCAACAACGGAUCUCUUGGCUCUC
rnacentral:misc_RNA from 1 species